rnacentral:rRNA from 1 species
GACGAACGCUGGCGGCGUGCUUAACACAUGCAAGUCGAACGGAAAGGCCCUGCUUUUGUGGGGUGCUCGAGUGGCGAACGGGUGAGUAACACGUGAGUAACCUGCCCUUGACUUUGGGAUAACUUCAGGAAACUGGGGCUAAUACCGGAUAGGAGCUCCUGCUGCAUGGUGGGGGUUGGAAAGUUUCGGCGGUUGGGGAUGGACUCGCGGCUUAUCAGCUUGUUGGUGGGGUAGUGGCUUACCAAGGCUUUGACGGGUAGCCGGCCUGAGAGGGUGACCGGCCACAUUGGGACUGAGAUACGGCCCAGACUCCUACGGGAGGCAGCAGUGGGGAAUAUUGCACAAUGGGCGGAAGCCUGAUGCAGCAACGCCGCGUGCGGGAUGACGGCCUUCGGGUUGUAAACCGCUUUCGCCUGUGACGAAGCGUGAGUGACGGUAAUGGGUAAAGAAGCACCGGCUAACUACGUGCCAGCAGCCGCGGUGAUACGUAGGGUGCGAGCGUUGUCCGGAUUUAUUGGGCGUAAAGGGCUCGUAGGUGGUUGAUCGCGUCGAAAGUGUAAUCUUGGGGCUUAACCCUGAGCGUGCUUUCGAUACGGGUUGACUUGAGGAAGGUAGGGGAGAAUGGAAUUCCUGGUGGAGCGGUGGAAUGCGCAGAUAUCAGGAGGAACACCAGUGGCGAAGGCGGUUCUCUGGGCCUUUCCUGACGCUGAGGAGCGAAAGCGUGGGGAGCGAACAGGCUUAGAUACCCUGGUAGUCCACGCUGUAAACGGUGGGUACUAGGUGUGGGGUCCAUUCCACGGGUUCCGUGCCGUAGCUAACGCUUUAAGUACCCCGCCUGGGGAGUACGGCCGCAAGGCUAAAACUCAAAGGAAUUGACGGGGCCCCGCACAAGCGGCGGAGCAUGCGGAUUAAUUCGAUGCAACGCGUAGAACCUUACCUGGGUUUGACAUGGAUCGGGAGUGCUCAGAGAUGGGUGUGCCUCUUUUGGGGUCGGUUCACAGGUGGUGCAUGGCUGUCGUCAGCUCGUGUCGUGAGAUGUUGGGUUAAGUCCCGAAACGAGCGCAACCCUUGUUCACUGUCGCCAGCACGUUAUGGUGGGGACUCAGUGGAGACCGCCGGGGUCAACUCGGAGGAAGGUGGGGAUGACGUCAAGUCAUCAUGCCCCUUAUGUCCAGGGCUUCACGCAUGCUACAAUGGCUGGUACAGAGAGUGGCGAGCCUGUGAGGGUGAGCGAAUCUCGGAAAGCCGGUCUCAGUUCGGAUUGGGGUCUGCAACUCGACCUCAUGAAGUCGGAGUCGCUAGUAAUCGCAGAUCAGCAACGCUGCGGUGAAUACGUUCCCGGGGCU